AGUGAACGCUGGCGGUAGGCCUAACACAUGCAAGUCGAACGGCAGCACAGUAAGAGCUUGCUCUUACGGGUGGCGAGUGGCGGACGGGUGAGGAAUACAUCGGAAUCUACUUUUUCGUGGGGGAUAACGUAGGGAAACUUACGCUAAUACCGCAUACGACCUACGGGUGAAAGCAGGGGAUCUUCGGACCUUGCGCGAUUGAAUGAGCCGAUGUCGGAUUAGCUAGUUGGCGGGGUAAAGGCACACCAAGGCGACGAUCCGUAGCUGGUCUGAGAGGAUGAUCAGCCACACUGGAACUGAGACACGGUCCAGACUCCUACGGGAGGCAGCAGUGGGGAAUAUUGGACAAUGGGCGCAAGCCUGAUCCAGCCAUACCGCGUGGGUGAAGAAGGUCUUCGGGUUGUAAAGCCCUGUUGUUGGGAAAGAAAAGCAGCAGGUUAAUCCCCCGAUGUUCUGACGGUACCCAAAGAAUAAGCACCGGCUAACUUCGUG
rnacentral:rRNA from 1 species